rnacentral:rRNA from 1 species
UGCAGUCGAACGAACCUUCGGGUUAGUGGCGGACGGGUGAGUAACGCGUGAGAAUCUGCCCUCAGGAGGGGGAUAACGGUUGGAAACGACCGCUAAUACCCCAUAUGCCUAUUGGUGAAAUGAAUUUCGCCUGAGGAUGAGCUCGCGUCUGAUUAGCUAGUUGGUGGGGUAAUGGCUCACCAAGGCUUCGAUCAGUAGCUGGUCUGAGAGGAUGAUCAGCCACACUGGGACUGAGACACGGCCCAGACUCCUACGGGAGGCAGCAGUGGGGAAUUUUCCGCAAUGGGCGAAAGCCUGACGGAGCAACGCCGCGUGAGGGACGAAGGCCUCUGGGCUGUAAACCUCUUUUCUCAAGGAAGAAGAUAUGACGGUACUUGAGGAAUAAGCCACGGCUAAUUCCGUGCCAGCAGCCGCGGUAAUACGGGAGUGGCAAGCGUUAUCCGGAAUUAUUGGGCGUAAAGCGUCCGCAGGCGGCUUUUCAAGUCUGCUGUUAAAGCGUGGAGCUUAACUCCAUCAUGGCAGUGGAAACUGAAAGGCUUGAGUAUGGUAGGGGCAGAGGGAAUUCCCGGUGUAGCGGUGAAAUGCGUAGAUAUCGGGAAGAACACCAGUGGCGAAGGCGCUCUGCUGGGCCAUUACUGACGCUCAUGGACGAAAGCCAGGGGAGCGAAAGGGAUUAGAUACCCCUGUAGUCCUGGCCGUAAACGAUGAACACUAGGUGUCGGGGGAAUCGACCCCUUCGGUGUCGUAGCUAACGCGUUA